ACACAAGCGUGGCGCGUGCUAUACAUGCAGUCGAGCGGACAGAUGGGAGCUUGCUCCCUGAUGUUAGCGGCGGACGGGUGAGUAACACGUGGGUAACCUGCCUGUAAGACUGGGAUAACUCCGGGAAACCGGGGCUAAUACCGGAUGCUUGUUUGAACCGCAUGGUUCAAACAUAAAAGGUGGCUUCGGCUACCACUUACAGAUGGACCCGCGGCGCAUUAGCUAGUUGGUGAGGUAACGGCUCACCAAGGCAACGAUGCGUAGCCGACCUGAGAGGGUGAUCGGCCACACUGGGACUGAGACACGGCCCAGACUCCUACGGGAGGCAGCAGUAGGGAAUCUUCCGCAAUGGACGAAAGUCUGACGGAGCAACGCCGCGUGAGUGAUGAAGGUUUUCGGAUCGUAAAGCUCUGUUGUUAGGGAAGAACAAGUACCGUUCGAAUAGGGCGGUACCUUGACGGUACCUAACCAGAAAGCCACGGCUAACUACGUGCCAGCAGCCGCGGUAAUACGUAGGUGGCAAGCGUUGUCCGGAAUUAUUGGGCGUAAAGGGCUCGCAGGCGGUUCCUUAAGUCUGAUGUGAAAGCCCCCGGCUCAACCGGGGAGGGUCAUUGGAAACUGGGGAACUUGAGUGCAGAAGAGGAGAGUGGAAUUCCACGUGUAGCGGUGAAAUGCGUAGAGAUGUGGAGGAACACCAGUGGCGAAGGCGACUCUCUGGUCUGUAACUGACGCUGAGGAGCGAAAGCGUGGGGAGCGAACAGGAUUAGAUACCCUGGUAGUCCACGCCGUAAACGAUGAGUGCUAAGUGUUAGGGGGUUUCCGCCCCUUAGUGCUGCAGCUAACGCAUUAAGCACUCCGCCUGGGGAGUACGGUCGCAAGACUGAAACUCAAAGGAAUUGACGGGGGCCCGCACAAGCGGUGGAGCAUGUGGUUUAAUUCGAAGCAACGCGAAGAACCUUACCAGGUCUUGACAUCCUCUGACAAUCCUAGAGAUAGGACGUCCCCUUCGGGGGCAGAGUGACAGGUGGUGCAUGGUUGUCGUCAGCUCGUGUCGUGAGAUGUUGGGUUAAGUCCCGCAACGAGCGCAACCCUUGAUUUUAGUUGCCAGCAUUCAGUUGGGCACUCUAAGGUGACUGCCGGUGACAAACCGGAGGAAGGUGGGGAUGACGUCAAAUCAUCAUGCCCCUUAUGACCUGGGCUACACACGUGCUACAAUGGACAGAACAAAGGGCAGCGAAACCGCGAGGUUAAGCCAAUCCCACAAAUCUGUUCUCAGUUCGGAUCGCAGUCUGCAACUCGACUGCGUGAAGCUGGAAUCGCUAGUAAUCGCGGAUCAGCAUGCCGCGGUAUCGCUUACCCU
rnacentral:rRNA from 1 species